rnacentral:rRNA from 1 species
CAGUAGCCACGGUAAUACGGAGGAUCCAAGCGUUAUCCGGAAUCAUUGGGUUUAAAGGGUCCGUAGGCGGUCUUGUAAGUCAGUGGUGAAAGCCCAUCGCUCAACGGUGGAACGGCCAUUGAUACUGCAGGACUUGAAUUAUUGGGAAGUAACUAGAAUAUGUAGUGUAGCGGUGAAAUGCUUAGAGAUUACAUGGAAUACCAAUUGCGAAGGCAGGUUACUACCAAUUGAUUGACGCUGAUGGACGAAAGCGUGGGUAGCGAACAGGAUUAGAUACCCGUGUAGUCCCUGUCUCUUAUAC